CACUAUGACGAAGUUUAACAGUUUGCAAAUUCUGGUCACGUUGGCUGCUGUGGCGAUGAUUUUUUCAGCAAUUGAAAACCAAGGCCUACGAUUUGCCCUCGCUUCUCCAUUUCCAGGGUGUUGUGGAAGCAAAUCUCGUUCUAAACGUGACGGUUCGCCAAGCAAAGUACGAACAUAUAAGCCUCACUUCAAUACAAGUGUUGGUAAUAAACACGGUAGUCACAUACUCCAAGGGCAACAGCGACACCGACGAAGUCUUAGAAGCCCAAUUCCCAGAGGAUGGCGCCGUGGAUUGUUACCCACUCAGCUGCUAUCAGAUCGUCGUGCUACUGUGUGAUCUCAUAGAAUAUUUCAGACCGUGCAGGUUUGCGAAACGUGCUGAUAAUAAAGUUGACAAAUUUUGCUUGAAGUAUUUCUUGCAGCAUUAAAAACAAUUCAUCAGCCCUUCCAUUCUGUGAAGAAGGACGAGCAGCGAAGCUGUGGUGUGUUUUCCCUCAAUUGACGCAUCUAUGUAAUAUAGCUCCAGGUCCACGGCCAAACAAUCCUUACUUUGCUCAAAAACCAAGUGCAGAUAGAAAAAGCAGCCGUAUUAAAAAAGCAGCCCCUCCAAAACCACCGAGACGGAACCGGCCACAUAAAGUUCAGCAGCCCCAUGUGCAAGUGGCCCGCCAAUCUUAGAAUAUCCGCUACGGAAUUCCUCGAAGCAGAUUAAAAGCUGAAAAUAAACAGCAAACUAUUUUGGUGCCUGAUUGGCCUUGAAAACAGGAAUGCCUGGAAACGAAGUCUGUGGGGUGAAUUGGUGCAUCAUUUGGUGUCGAGCGGAAAUACGGGCGGGAAGAAACGAAGUGGACAGGACAGACGGUUAUGAUUGCCUCAUUUGCUAUUUACGUUGAAGAAAACUCAAUAAUAUUUGAUGUGCAAACAAGAUACAUAUGCGAUAUAGAAGAAAUGGGGCAGAUAUUGCGGGAGACACCUUCUAGUCAUCGACAACAACGUGGUCAACCGCCCUCUCAAGUUCGAGCACCACGAAGAUCACUAGUAGCUCGCUCGAAUAUUCAACAGUAAUUCAAUAAAGAAAAGCUACAGAAGUAAGGAUUUCACAGAAGGAGCGAUUUCACAAA